AGAGAGGAACUUGACAAAAUGAUUCUGAAAUUUAUUUGGAGGUUCAAGAAGUCAAGAAUAACCAAACUCUCUUGAAGAAAAAGAACAAGGGUUUGCCUUCCUUGCCAUUGGGACCCAAGCCAGAUGUUGCUCCUUCCGAGGCCAAUGAGCUCCUGGUAAGCUGGAAUGUAAUAAAUUGGAGCCACCGUGAGGGGCACCUCAGGCAGACCUGACUGACCACCGACAGGAACGAUCUCCAAAUGAACAAGAAUGAAGCACGUCUUCCUGCGGAGUAACAAUACCU